ensembl:lncRNA
GUUUGACUUAAGCUUAGCAUUGUCCUCAAAUAUCCAAACUGGCAUGGUUUGUUCACCCCGAGAACCAUCCACUGACAGCCUGAGUAGGGCAAGAGAGGCAGUGAGCUCAUUGGUGAUAUCACAGAGCCUCAGUUGCCAUGGCACCAAUUCUAGGAAGAAAACACAGACAAAGGGAGUCAGAGAAUGGAAAGAAAAGAAAAAAAAUGGAAUAAUAAUGAAGAGUAAGAAAAAAAUUAUGGAUUCAAAUUUACAUUUAAGGAAUUUCUCUGAAACUGAAGCAUCUAGAACAAUUCAUUUUUUUUCAGAAUGACUGUCUUUCUUGGGGCAAGUGACAUGUCAGGACUGGUUUCUGAGGUACUUCUGAAAUUAAAAAUUAAAAGAACUAAUUUGGAAAGUUAUGUCAUACCUCUGUGUUCAAAGGAAUUAAGCUUGGAGAAGAGAGAAGGAGCAUAACACAAGUUAUAGACAGUCUAAAAGAAGAAGGUAACAUCAGAAACGGGUCUGGAUCCCAUCUUCCCAUGAACCACACCCAAGAGUUCAAAUGUACCUCACUGUCAGUAUAAGACUACCAUGCAUCCACUUAAGCAGCAAAGAAUAAAAAGGACCUAAAGUUUUGUCCUUGCACAAUAUUUUGGUUGGAACUUUUUCCAAGGUAGUUCAUUCCCCUGAAGGCUCCUUGUGGGCAAUGAUUGUUUGGAAUAAAUCUUUGUUCACAGUGGGCACUCAUUUUUCAGUGAAAUUUGUUACACCAAGAUAAACAGGAAGUCAAGCCAUAGAGAACAACUUAUGAAUAAUCUUAUAAAGUAUAGUGUUUGAAGUAAAAAUGUUUAAGAAAAGAAGUCAAAAUAAUAAUGUUAAUAGCAGUUUCUCAGAGUGACCAAAAGGCAUAAGAAGAACAGGCAGAUGCCAUAAGCAGAUUAGAUAUAUUUUUUCACUUCAGGCAUACUAUUUGUGGAAAGAAAAUGAACCAACUUGAAUUACAGCCAAAUCUAAACUCUUACUCUCUGUAGUCUUCUGUUUAAUCGUUUUAAAUGAUAAAAAGAUAACAGAAACCUGUGGGCUUUAUAUCUCUUCAGAGGAAAUAAAACAUUUGUUUUUCCAAAGGGAUACAGCAUCUACUCACUGUACCACAAAAAUUUCAUUGCUUUAUUUAUAAGAUCAAAGACCUAAUGCCUGUCACUAAAACAGUAGCGUUUUUUCAUUUGUAUUUUCCUUACUACCAAGCAUCAGUAAAGUGUCCAUGGUGUGCAGCAAAUGAAAAGAGGAUAUGGUAUAGUUUCUUCUUAAGGGAAAUUCUCAGUCCAACUUUGAAGAGGAUACACUGAAGGACAUGCACACAUUCAAAGAAGCCAAAUCACUAAGUAUUCCUUACCCAAACCUGGAUUUUUGCACCUUCUGAGCUUUUAGUAGAGGAGCAUUUACUGUUACAGAAAAUAAAUAUGAGAACCCAGGGAACAGACUCUGCCAACCAAAAUAUAAACUGCUUAGAGGCAGUUAGCACUUAACAUAAACAUUUUGACUUGACCUGAUGAUCUGUCUGUACUCUGAAAUCUUCAUACCUUAAACUAUGGCACAAAAUUUCCUUUUCUGGAGGAGGAAGUCAUUUGUGAAGUUGUCAUCUAUAUGUUGAAGAAAAAGCUAAUGAUUGGACUGACAAUAUCCAGUCCAGAUCAGACCUCAAUUCCAGUUGUCCAUAUAAAAAUAGACAUCUUAAAGUCCUCUUCCAAGUUAUUCUGGAUUUGGGGAUAUUUCCUGUAAUAGAAUAUGCUUAGUGAUGAAGCUUCCUGGAUCACUUUAAAACUAGGGGGGAAUUCAAGGCAACCUAUAAUCCUGAAAGGUUAGUUUCUCCUUGCCCUCUGCAGAUUACUGGGAUUGCACCUACCUGAGAUAAAUCUACUCUGAUGUAAUUAUAACAGGGUUCUUACUUGCAUAUAACAGAAGUUAACUCCGGCAGAUUAGGCAUGACAAUGGAAAAUAUUUAUUGAUGGGAUAUCAGGAAUCUCAAAGAAUCAAUUAAAACUGAAGAAACAGAGUUGAGUCUCAGAUUUAAAGAUCAAUGUGCAAACCCCAGUGGAACUGCUCUGAUGAGAAAUCACUAUCACUACAGCCACACCACUGCCAGUGGCCACCAGAUGCCACAGUUUCAACCACUGUCAAUUCUGGGCUAGGAAUUUUUCUUUCCUGCAAUAAUUGUGCUACGUGCUUCAUUGCUAUUUUUAUGUCAAUAUUUCACCACUGCUUUCCCACCCUCACCCCACUUCUGCUUCUUACAUCACUAGCUCCUGCAUCAAAGUCUGAUGUAGCUGUGUGGGCUUGGUGGAACCAAUAAUACAUCCCUAUGCUGUAGCUGCAAGAGAGGCUAGGAGAGCUGGUACCUGGCAAUCAGAACUCCAAUUAUGCAAAGAUAAGCU